GAUUUUUGCCGAAGGCAGGCGAGCGCUUCGGAGCGGACUCGUUUUUUUCCGCCAGUCUUGGCGGAAGCCUGAGACGCAAUAGAUGGAGACUCUCCUUUUCGCCUUGGCGUACUCUUUUUUUUUUUUUCCUCCCUGGAGCUGGUCUUGUGGGGCAGCCCUAAAAUGUAUCUCCAAGUGACCCUGCACUCAUCACUUGCUGCCUUGGACUUAGUUUCCUCAUUCGUAGAAUGGAGACACCACACUUUCUGAAGUGCUUAUGAGACUUGCAGGAGGAAGUUCUUGCUGCAUCCUGUGAACUGCUGGAACUUGCUGAUUGCACUUCAUAGACAAUUCCCCAAAGCCUGCAUUUGCAAAGCUGGCCUUUUCCAUUUGGAACACUCCUAGCAGCUACCAGUGCCACCCUCCCCACAGCCUCUCUGGCAAAGUAUGCUGGGGAACUUGGGGAUUUUUGCUAAGCUGAUUAGUUAGAUAUUGUGCAUCUCAGUGUAGUUUCAAUUACUAUUUUUCAUAUUAUGAGUGAGUUUGUGCAUUUUUUCAUAUGUUUAAGGGUUAUUCACACUGGUUUUUCUAUGAGCGGUCUAUAUCCUUUGCCCGCUUCUUUUUCUAAGUUUCUUGUUUUUUUAUCCAUUUUGGGGAGCUCUUUUAUAUUAGGAAAUCCAUCCUUUGUCUUGAAUAUAACUGAACAUAUUUUUCCUUGGUGUUUAUAUUGAAAUCACUAUAUCUUUUGACAAUUGAUACUUGCCUUUUCUUUGUCCUGUGAAUUUGUCAUAUGCUGAGAGAUGAAUUAAAGUCUCUUUCUACCGCU
ensembl:lncRNA ARGLU1-DT ARGLU1 divergent transcript